rnacentral:tRNA from 1 species
GGCUCCGUAGCAUAACUGAAUAGUGCAUCUGACUACGGAUCAGAAGGUUCGGGGUUUGAAUCCCUGCGGAGUCACAA